GGAACGGCCCAACUGUCACUUAGAAAGCCUCGCUUCCCAUUGGCUGAAGGGAGCGCGAGGGCGGAACAUCGAGCUCUUUCUCUAUUGGCCGGCAGCGCGAGGAGUUCGGCGCUGGUUGGAAAGGCGACGAGACUGGGAGUCACGGAGAGCUCCGAUUGGCUGCGCCUGCGCGGGUGGGUGGGAUCUGGCGGGGCGGGGCGGGGCUGGGCUGGGAGGCUUCGGCACGGUGUCGCAACCCUCGCUGAUCUCCGGGCGCCGGUUCGAGUCCCGCGUGCGGCUGGCUGAGGAGCUCUGAGCACAUGGAUAAACCAUUGAUUGGUUCCCCUUUGAACAAGAAUAAGUGUCUAAAUCCCCACCCUCCUUCUGUGUCCUGAAACUGCUCUGAUUGACUGUGAUGGAACAAAGUGUAUUGCCAAAUGAAAACAUUGUCUGUUCUCCUGCAGCUUAGAUGACAAGCCUAGCCUGGCCAGCAGCCAGUGACUAGUCUGGGAGUCAUGGUUUGCAGGAGUUUGUGAUGAGAUGACACAAAACUAGUGCUUAGGAAGAUGUGCAGGAUCCAAAACACUCUUAAGACUUGACCAUCCUGAAAUCCUGCAAGUUGAUACUGUAGCUGUAUCACUUCUUUUAUUUAGAAAAGGAAAGAUAAGCUGUUCAGCUGUUUAGGUGAUUAAAACAAGACUAAAUAACACGACCGCAACCAUUAGUGUUUCUGUGUU